rnacentral:rRNA from 1 species
AGAGUUUGAUCAUGGCUCAGAUUGAACGCUGGCGGCAUGCCUUACACAUGCAAGUCGAACGGCAGCGCGGGGCAACCUGGCGGCGAGUGGCGAACGGGUGAGUAAUAUAUCGGAACGUACCCUGGAGUGGGGGAUAACGUAGCGAAAGUUACGCUAAUACCGCAUACGAUCUAAGGAUGAAAGCAGGGGACCGCAAGGCCUUGUGCUCCUGGAGCGGCCGAUAUCUGAUUAGCUAGUUGGUGGGGUAAAGGCCUACCAAGGCAUCGAUCAGUAGCUGGUCUGAGAGGACGACCAGCCACACUGGAACUGAGACACGGUCCAGACUCCUACGGGAGGCAGCAGUGGGGAAUUUUGGACAAUGGGCGCAAGCCUGAUCCAGCAAUGCCGCGUGAGUGAAGAAGGCCUUCGGGUUGUAAAGCUCUUUUGUCAGGGAAGAAACGGUGUGGGCUAAUAUCCCGUACUAAUGACGGUACCUGAAGAAUAAGCACCGGCUAACUACGUGCCAGCAGCCGCGGUA